rnacentral:rRNA from 1 species
UGGGGAAUAUUGCGCAAUGGGCGAAAGCCUGACGCAGCGACGCCGCGUGAGGGAUGAAGGUUUUCGGAUCGUAAACCUCUGUCAGAAGGGAAGAAACCGCACUGUGCUAAUCAGCAGUGCCUUGACGGUACCUUCAAAGGAAGCACCGGCUAACUCCGUGCCAGCAGCCGCGGUAAUACGGAGGGUGCAAGCGUUAAUCGGAAUUACUGGGCGUAAAGCGCACGUAGGCUGCUUUGUAAGUCAGGGGUGAAAUCCCACGGCUCAACCGUGGAACUGCCUUUGAUACUGCUUAGCUUGAAUCCGGGAGAGGGUGGCGGAAUUCCAGGUGGAGGAGUGAAAUCCGUAGAUAUCUGGAGGAACAUCAGAGGCGAAGGCGGCCACCUGGACCGGUAUUGACGCUGAGGUGCGAAAGAGUGGGGAGCAAACAGG